rnacentral:tRNA from 4 species
CGCGGGAUGGAGCAGCUCGGUAGCUCGCUGGGCUCAUAACCCAGAGGUCGCAGGUUCAAAUCCUGUUCCCGCUACUA